GACGAACGCUGGCGGCGUGCUUAACACAUGCAAGUCGAACGGAAAGGCCCUGCUUUUGUGGGGUGCUCGAGUGGCGAACGGGUGAGUAACACGUGAGUAACCUGCCCUUGACUUUGGGAUAACUUCAGGAAACUGGGGCUAAUACCGGAUAGGAGCUCCUGCUGCAUGGUGGGGGUUGGAAAGUUUCGGCGGUUGGGGAUGGACUCGCGGCUUAUCAGCUUGUUGGUGGGGUAGUGGCUUACCAAGGCUUUGACGGGUAGCCGGCCUGAGAGGGUGACCGGCCACAUUGGGACGUAGAUACGGCCCAGACUCCUACGGGCGGCAGCAGUGGAGAAUAUUGCACAAUGGGCGGAAGCCUGAUGCAGCAACGCCGCGUGCGGGAUGACGGCCUUCGGGUUGUAAACCGCUUUCGCCUGUGACGAAGCGUGAGUGACGGUAAUGGGUAAAGAAGCACCGGCUAACUACGUG
rnacentral:rRNA from 1 species